GACGAACGCUGGCGGCGUGGAUUAGGCAUGCAAGUCGAACGGUAUCAUCCUUUCGGGGGUGAGAGAGUGGCGAACUGGUGAGUAACACGUAGGUUAUCUACCCUCAAGACGGGGACAACCCAGGGAAACUUGGGCUAAUACCGGAUGUGAGCAACUUUUAGUUGUUUGAAAGGUGGCGUAAGCUGUCGCUUGGGGAUGAGCCUGCGUCCUAUUAGUUAGUUGGUGAGGUAACGGCUCACCUAGGCAAUGAUAGGUAGGCGGCCUUAACGGGUGGUCGCCCACACUGGGAUUGAGAUACGGCCCAGACUCCUACGGGAGGCAGCAGUCGAGAGUAGUCUACAAUGGUCGGAAGACUGAUAGUGCGACGCCGCGUGAACGAUGAAUCCCUUCGGGGUGUAAAGUUCUUUUAUAUGUGAGCAGUGCUUCUUAUAUUAACAGUAUGGGGAAGAGAUAUUAGCAUAUGAAUAAGCAACGGCUAACUCCGUGCCAGCAGCCGCGGUAAUA
rnacentral:rRNA from 1 species